GUUAGAUUUAAAAUUAUUAAGGGUUGUCCUUUUUUGAGCAGAAAAGAAAAGGUGAUUUCAGUGGAAGACACACUGUCCCUGGAGCUGAUGCUGCAGACACAAAACCAGGUUGCUUUGGGUGAUCCCACAGGCCACAUCCACAAAUUCUUGGUCCAGCCCUUCAAGUUGUUCAGUGUGAACAGCUCUGCUCCCACAAUAAGCUCCUGGAGGUUUAGGGUGGCUCCAGCCUUUUGGGGAGAGCGGAGGCUCUCCGGGCGUGUUCACAAGGGAAUAUUGACGUUUGGGACCAAGGGAUGGAAAACUGGGCUGUGAGCUGCUGGAGCUGUUAUCAAGGAUAUUUAUCCCAGCAACUUUCCCCUGCAGGACUUCUCAAGGUUGUCCUUCUUUUUCUCCAUUCCCACUGUUCCCUCUGCUCCACGAAGUUGCCUGGGGCCUGCCAAGGUGCCAGGCACAGAUCCAUCCCUCUGGAGUGCCCCAGCUGAGCAGGAAGAGUGGUGUGGAGGCAGCAGAUUCCUUUGGGAUCGCUGGGAUUUGGCUCAGCCCCGCGUGGCUGUGCCAGCCCAGCUGCACAGAGGCUGCAUCUGCAGGGAUCUCACAUCUGGGAUAACCUGGCUCAGGAAUCAGGCAGGUUGGAUUGUCCUGGCUCUAUUCCUUCCCAGGCACAGCCCUGACUCUUCCUGGCUUUGUGGGGAAGACAUUUCACCUUUCUUUGGGAGCCCUUUCCAUGGAGCCCAGCACAGAUCCAGCCCAUUUUGCCACGGAUCCUUUUUUCUUCCCAAGCUUGCUCCAGCUGUGAGCAGCUGCAGUGCUGGCUCUCAUCCCUCCAGCUGCCCUCCCCAAAGUCACAUCCCCUCACAGAUCCCAUUUCCCACCUGAUUGCCACAUUUAUCACACCUUUUUCUGCCAGAACCACAGGGGC
rnacentral:lncRNA from 1 species